UACGUAGGGUGCGAGCGUUAAUCGGAAUUACUGGGCGUAAAGCGUGCGCAGGCGGUUCGUUGUGUCGGCGGUGAAAGCCCCGGGCUUAACCUGGGAAUGGCCGUCGAAACUGGCGAACUGGAGUGUGGCAGAGGGGGGUGGAAUUCCGCGUGUAGCAGUGAAAUGCGUAGAGAUGCGGAGGAACACCGAUGGCGAAGGCAGCCCCCUGGGCUGACACUGACGCUCAGGCACGAAAGCGUGAGGAGCAAACAGG
rnacentral:rRNA from 1 species